rnacentral:misc_RNA from 1 species
UGCCGUGUAAUUCUUCCACUAAACAAGGAUCCCAGACUAUUGGCAUGUCCUUCUCCUUCUCCAUUCCUUCUAAAACAUACCUUUCUGCAGCUUCUAAGAUUGAUUUUGGAAGUUGUUGGUUAGGUUUAACCAUAUCUGCACUCGAAUCCAGUAGAGACGCCUCUACAGCUCUGGUGAUCUUUCCUAACCUACCAUCAGCUGAAU